UGUACAUUAAGCAACAUAAUAUACACCAUUGUCCUGUGUAACACAGCUUUGAUUUCAUUUAUAAAUCUAAAUGUUCCUUUAUUAAAUAUUGCAUUCUGUAUUUGUUAAUCUUGUCAUUCUUUUAAAUUGAUUGAUCAAAUGUGUUGUUUUUCUUUGGAUUUACUCAAAAAGAGCCACUCAGUUUCCAAAUGUGACUAGGCUAUACAGAAAAUACUUUAUUAAAGUAAUUUAAAAUUCUUAUAAAAUGAAUACUCCAGCUAAAGAUAUAUUUUAAAAAUCUAGUAAU
rnacentral:lncRNA from 1 species